rnacentral:rRNA from 1 species
UACGUAGGUGACAAGCGUUGUCCGGAUUUACUGGGCGUAAAGAGCGCGCAGGCGGUCGUUCAAGUCGAGUGUGAAAGCCCCCGGCUCAACUGGGGAGGGUCACUCGAUACUGAUCGACUCGAAGGCAGGAGAGGGAAGUGGAAUUCCCGGUGUAGUGGUGAAAUGCGUAGAUAUCGGGAGGAACACCAGUGGCGAAGGCGGCAGCCUGGACCAUAACUGACGCUGAGGCGCGAAAGCUAGGGGAGCAAACGGG